rnacentral:tRNA from 2 species
GGCGGAGUAGCUCAGCUGGCUAGAGCAGAGGAAUCAUAAUCCUCGUGUCGGGGGUUCGAGUCCCUCCUCCGCUACCA